rnacentral:lncRNA from 1 species
GUGAGGCGGCCCGGGGAGGGCACCGGCGGCAUAAAGGGCCCAGGCAGCCCCGGGCCACGACCCCGCAUCGCCUGGACCAGGUGUUGUGUUUCUGGGGCUGCCGAGGCCCGGUCCUGCCGGCGCCCGCCUCCCGCCGCAGCCUGGCCGACCACUGGCUGAGCCCGCAGCGCCGCGCCGCCGGGCGCCGCCUGCUGCUGGCCGGCGCGCAACCUGCUGCCCCCACCGGGGGCCACCAGCCGGGCCAGCCGCUGCGGAGCGCGCCCGCGCCUCCCGUGGAAGCACCAGUGGCAGAAUAUUAACUACCAACUCCUGGGCAAGAGGAAGAGCCAUCUGGUUCCCCUGCGCCCGUGAGAGCGAAUGUGAGGAAACAGGCUCCAGGUUCAUCACAUGGUGGUCCCAAGGCCGACUUGUGCAAGCCAGGAUGACAGGAGGACGGCGUGGGAGCACUGCUCAAUCCCGUAGCCCUUCCCUGUGGCUGAAGAUGAUCCACCUUCGCCCUGUCUCCUGAGGUCUCCGUGUUUCUGCCCUUCACGGCCCAAAUAAAGCAGCUUUUGCCUCUCUCUGGC